UGGGGAAUUUUGGACAAUGGGCGAAAGCCUGAUCCAGCAAUGCCGCGUGUGUGAAGAAGGCCUUCGGGUUGUAAAGCACUUUUGUCCGGAAAGAAAUCCUUGGCUCUAAUACAGUCGGGGGGAUGACGGUACCGGAAGAAUAAGCACCGGCUAACUACGUGCCAGCAGCCGCGGUAAUACGUAGGGUGCAAGCGUUAAUCGGAAUUACUGGGCGUAAAGCGUGCGCAGGCGGUUUGCUAAGACCGAUGUGAAAUCCCCGGGCUCAACCUGGGAACUGCAUUGGUGACUGGCAGGCUAGAGUAUGGCAGAGGGGGGUAGAAUUCCACGUGUAGCAGUGAAAUGCGUAGAGAUGUGGAGGAAUACCGAUGGCGAAGGCAGCCCCCUGGGCCAAUACUGACGCUCAUGCACGAAAGCGUGGGGGAGCAAAAC
rnacentral:rRNA from 1 species